rnacentral:rRNA from 1 species
AACGAACGCUGGCGGCUUGCCUAACACAUGCAAGUCGAACGAGACCUUCGGGUCUAGUGGCGCACGGGUGCGUAACGCGUGGGAACCUGCCUUUAGGUUCGGAAUAACUCAGAGAAAUUUGAGCUAAUACCGGAUGAUGUCUUCGGACCAAAGAUUUAUCGCCUUUAGAUGGGCCCGCGUUGGAUUAGCUAGUUGGUGGGGUAAAGGCCUACCAAGGCGACGAUCCAUAGCUGGUCUGAGAGGAUGAUCAGCCACACUGGGACUGAGACACGGCCCAGACUCCUACGGGAGGCAGCAGUGGGGAAUAUUGGACAAUGGGCGAAAGCCUGAUCCAGCAAUGCCGCGUGAGUGAUGAAGGCCUUAGGGUUGUAAAGCUCUUUUACCCGAGAUGAUAAUGACAGUAUCGGGAGAAUAAGCUCCGGCUAACUCCGUG